CACCCUGACUAAUGAGAAGGAGUCAGAUGCCUGCCCAAUCAGAGCAAUGAAGUUCUCAGUGUCCCCUGUUGUGCGUGUUGCUGUUCAGUGCAAGGUUGCCUCUGAUCUGCCCAAGCUUGUUGAGGGUUUGAAGCGUCUGGCGAAGUCUGAUCCUAUGGUGCUCUGUACUAUUGAGGAGUCUGGUGAGCAUAUCAUUGCUGGUGCUGGAGAGCUUCACCUUGAAAUUUGCUUGAAGGAUCUGCAGGAAGAUUUCAUGGGUGGUGCUGAAAUCAUUGUUUCCCCACCUGUUGUUUCUUUCCGUGAGACUGUCCUUGAGAAGUCGUGCCGUACUGUUAUGAGCAAGUCCCCGAACAAGCACAACCGUCUCUACAUGGAAGCUCGCCCCUUGGAGGAGGGAUUGGCUGAGGCCAUUGAUGACGGUCGUAUUGGCCCACGUGAUGAUCCCAAGGUGCGCUCCAAGAUCCUGUCUGAGGAGUUCGGCUGGGACAAGGAUCUUGCAAAGAAGAUUUGGUGUUUUGGACCUGAGACAACUGGCCCCAACAUGGUGGUUGAUAUGUGUAAGGGAGUUCAGUAUCUGAAUGAAAUCAAGGAUUCCGUUGUGGCUGGUUUCCAGUGGGCAUCAAAGGAGGGUGCUCUGGCUGAGGAGAACAUGCGUGGUAUCUGCUUUGAGGUGUGCGAUGUUGUUCUCCAUGCUGAUGCUAUUCACAGAGGUGGUGGCCAGGUCAUUCCCACGGCCAGGAGGGUCAUCUAUGCUUCUCAGCUCACAGCAAAGCCCAGGCUUCUUGAGCCCGUCUACCUGGUGGAGAUCCAGGCCCCUGAGAAUGCCCUUGGUGGUAUCUAUGGUGUUCUGAACCAGAAGAGAGGACAUGUGUUCGAGGAGAUGCAGAGGCCUGGUACCCCUCUGUACAACAUCAAGGCUUACCUCCCUGUCAUCGAGUCCUUUGGGUUCUCAAGCCAGCUUAGGGCUGCGACAUCUGGCCAGGCCUUCCCCCAGUGUGUGUUCGACCAUUGGGACAUGAUGACCUCUGAUCCUCUUGAAGCUGGCUCGCAGGCUUCAACCCUGGUGCAGGAUAUCCGCAAGAGGAAGGGUCUCAAGGAGCAGAUGACUCCCCUCUCCGAUUUCGAGGACAAGCUCUAAAUUUUUGGCCGCCGCAUGUGUUGUGCCGUUACCCUUACAUGUUCUAGUUGGUCU
rnacentral:lncRNA from 1 species